rfam:Rattus norvegicus chromosome 3, whole genome shotgun sequence.
UGGCUCAGCGGUUAAGAGCACUGACUGCUCUUCCAGAGGUCCUGGGUUCAAAUCCCAG